CAGAGUUGGAGUGGAGAUCCUCUCGCAUCACAUCUCCAGGGCGCUGAACACCUUCUGACUGGAGACAAAUAGUGCGGUACUUGGUGAACUGGGAGAGAUCCAGGCUGGAGGAGUGAAUGCAGGUCUUUCAUUCUGGACCACAGAGCCCACCCAGAUGGACACGUGAGCAUAACAAAUGACCUCAUGCAGAUGGUCUGUUGCAUGUCAGGUUCCCCUUAGACCCUCAAUCUCAGAUUCAGCCGGUCUGUCCAUCUGGUCGCCUGAUUCAGCUGUCUCGCCCUUCUCCCUACAUGACGACUGUUUCAGCUGAACUCUUGACUUUCACUUCCUCACACAUUGUUG